ACUCAAAUGAAUUGACGGGGGCUUGCACAAGCGGUGGAGCGUGUGGCUUAAUUCGUCGCUAAGCGAAGAACCUUACCAGGGCUAGAAAUCCUACUGCAUACUUUGGGAAACCUUAGUAGCCUUCGAGGGUGUAGGACAGGUGAUGCAUGGCUGUCGUCAGUUCGUGGUUUGAAUCGUUCCCUUCAGUGGGGUAACGAACGCAACCCUCGUUGCCAGUUACAAGUGUCUGGCGAGACUGCCCCCUCACGGGGGAGGAAGGUGAGGAUGACGCCAAGUCAGCAUGUCCCUCUGAUGUCCUGGGCUGCACACGCGCUACAAUCGCCUUUACAAAGGGACGCAAUGCGGUAACGCGGAGCAAAUCCUGAAAAGAGGCGUCAGUUCGGAUUGAGGUCUGCAACCCGACCUCAUGAAGCUGGAAUCGCUAGUAAUCGUGGGUCAGCCACACCACGGUGAAUACGUUCUCAAGCCUUGUACACACCGCCCGU
rnacentral:rRNA from 1 species